rnacentral:tRNA from 1 species
GCCGGGGUGGCGGAAUAGGCAGACGCGCUGGAUUCAGGAUCCAGUGGGAGCUAAUCCCGUGCGGGUUCAAAUCCCGCCCCCGGCA